AUGGUUGCUAGCAAGCCAGAGGAGGCGUUGGUUGGUGCCUUCAAGAAGAACAAGGAGACUGCCCUUGUGGUUGCUGAUCCUGCUGCUGCGCUUGCUGGGUUGGAGGUCACCACUUUGCCGCCAGCCGAGGCCACUAAACCAACAUUCAUUGGGGUUGAGGGAUUUGAGGGUGACUACGGUGGAAUUGAGUUUGGCAAUGAGGAAGCUUCACUGGCUGAGGCAUUUGAGGGCUUCAAUGCGCCAUUUGGGGGUGGGCUUGAUGCUUCUGAGUUUGUUACCACAACCAAGAAGGAUCACAAGGACAAGACCCUCACUGGUCUUGAGAUUCUAGCCAUGAGUGGUGGGCAGGCACCAAAUGCGCCUUCUGGUUCGCCACUUGACAGCUUGGUAACCCCGAGCAAAGAGAUGACCGUGCCUGAGUUGUGCAUCGUUGAGGAGAUCAAUGCUGAAUUCAACGAGUCUGUUCUUGCACGGGUUGGUCUGAAGGGUACAAUCAUUUUGCGGACCUUACCACCAAAGAAGGCAGCAGGGAGGGAGACAGAGUUCUCAUUCCGGCUUGAGGGUGCUUCUGGAAUGAAGAGGGCUGCCUUGCAGAGUACCGUGUUGAGCAGCCUCGAGAACGGCCUGUUCCAUGUGAAGACACCAUCGAAGGAGGAACCUAUCCCCAUCAUGAAAUACAGCUUCCUGCCCAAGCACUCACCUCUCCCCCUGAGGUUGCGUCUUGUAAAGCGCCACAGUGGUACAUUGCUCUCACUGAUGAUACACUAUGCGUCGAACCCGAUGUUGCCGCAGCCACUGAGCAAUGUUACAUUCAUUGUUAAGCUUCCUGUGGAUCCAACUCUGCUUAAUGUUUCGCCCAAGGCUGUGUUGAACCGGGCUGAGAGGGAACUCAGGUGGCACAUCUCAGACAUUCCUCUGAAAGGCCCCGCUGGACGGUUGAGAGCACGGAUGCCUGUGGAUCAAGACUCUAAAGAUGGCGAACUGGAGGUUGUUGGAAUGGUGAAGUUUGCUUACCAAGGGCCAUUCACUUUGUCGGGCAUCAAGCUCUGCCCAGCCAUCAAUAGCACUGCCCAAUUUAACGAAGUUGGCCACACUUUCUCCAGCGGGAGCUACCGUUGCAUCUGA
rnacentral:rRNA from 1 species